UGGGGAAUUUUGGACAAUGGGGGCAACCCUGAUCCAGCCAUCCCGCGUGUGCGAUGAAGGCCUUCGGGUUGUAAAGCACUUUUGGCAGGGAAGAAACAGCCUGGGAUAAUACCCCGGGCGACUGACGGUACCUGCAGAAUAAGCACCGGCUAACUACGUGCCAGCAGCCGCGGUAAUACGUAGGGUGCAAGCGUUAAUCGGAAUUACUGGGCGUAAAGCGUGCGCAGGCGGUUCGGAAAGAAAGGUGUGAAUCCCAGGGCUUAACCUUGGAACUGCACUUUUAACUACCGAGCUAGAGUACGUCAGAGGGGGGUAGAAUUCCACGUGUAGCAGUGAAAUGCGUAGAGAUGUGGAGGAAUACCGAUGGCGAAGGCAGCCCCCUGGGAUGAUACUGACGCUCAUGCACGAAAGCGUGGGGAGCAAACAGGAUUAGAUACCCUGGUAGUCCACGCCCUAAACGAUGUCAACUAGCUGUUGGGGCUUUAUUAACCUUAGUAGCGCAGCUAACGCGUGAAGUUGACCGCCUGGGGAGUACGGUCGCAAGAUUAAAACUUAAAGUGAAUUGACGGGGGUCAUAGCUGUUUCCAU
rnacentral:rRNA from 1 species